AGCGAACGUUUGCGGCGGGCUUAACACAUGCAAGUCGAACGGGCUGUUCCUUCGGGGGCAGUCAGUGGCGCACGGGUGCGUAACACGUAGGUAAUCAACCCUCUGGUUGGGGAUAACACUUCGAAAGGAGUGCUAAUACCCGGUAUGGCGCAGCGGUCUUCGGAUCGCGGCGAGAAAGACCCGCAAGGGUUGCCAGAGGACGAGCCUGCGGCCCAUCAGCUAGUUGGCGAGGUAACGGCUCACCAAGGCGAAGACGGGUAGCUGGUCUGAGAGGAUGAUCAGCCACACUGGAACUGAGACACGGUCCAGACUCCUACGGGAGGCAGCAGUGGGGAAUAUUGCGCAACGGGCGAAAGCCUGACGCAGCCACGCCGCGUGAGCGAUGAAGGCCUCGGUCGUAAGAC
rnacentral:rRNA from 1 species